rnacentral:misc_RNA from 1 species
UCUUUGCAGCUUGGGCAAUAGUGAUAUUUAUGCCAGAGACAGUCCAUCGAAGGGCAAAGAAAGCAUAUUCCAAGCAUAAAUGGCAUCAUACAACCGACAACAGCUGCCAGACUAGGUUUUGAUCUGACGACAGUAAGUCCAGAAUUACCACAGAAAGUGCAGUUAAACGGAGCAGGAGUGUCCCGAUACAUCGUCUGUUGAAUCGGAAUUCCCUUUGGAUCGCCGAAGACAGCGUUUGGUGGGAUGGCUCCGGCUUGGUACGGGUUCUGGCCGGCGUAGUAAGGAACCCCGAUGGCAGGCUCAUCUUUUUGGCCCAUUGCUUAUGCUUUUGUGAAGCUUUUCUUGGAUUGGAGACAGACGGAGGAGGCAAGAUUGAUUCUUCAAAUGAAUUAAUGAACAAUAGGAUGUUGAUUGACCGAUGGAGGUGGGAAGAACAAAGAAAAUAAAGCCG